rnacentral:lncRNA from 1 species
AAAUUACUUAAUUCAAGAAAUUUCUAUUUCAAUUCUAUUUUCUUUAGGUUUUUGUUUUUGAUGAGUAUCUACUUCAAUUUCAAUUAUAAGUGUUUUCUUGGGUUCCAAACCAGCCCAUCAGGAAUUAAAGAAACUCAAUUUCAUAUAAAUCUUGGUUAAUUUUGUUCGUAUAAGAUUCUUUUGCUAGCCUAGAAAGUUUUCAGGAGUCCAAACAAGAUGUUAUUCACCAAAAUGAGCUUAGAGUUUGAUUAAUGGAAAUAUGAAAGUUCUAGUUUGAAGAUUGAGCAUCACAGACAUGAUUGUCUAGGUUCUUCUUAUUUUGUCAUUUUGUUUAAUUGUUCCUUUUAAUUUGGUGAAUCAUUACGUGAACUUUUCACAAGAUCGACCCUUUCAAUAAGUAUAAGCAACUUUUUAACCAAGAUACUCUAACCUAUCUUAACCUCACCUCCCUAUCACUAAAAUCGUAAGUUUUCCUUGUUAAGAAAUUACAACAAGCAUUUCCCUAAAUUGCAGGCCCAAUCAUUUAACCAGCAAACCAAACACUACUUCCUGGCCUGUAAAACCAUAAACUUUCCCAAACCUUGGCCAACUGGUAAUGUAGAGCGUAGAAACUAUUAUCUUGAGAUCAAACCAUCACCUACCAACACAAUGUUCAAUGACACUCAUAAUACUGAACGAUUCUUCUCUCCACAAAUGAGAUCUAUCAAAAAUGUAAAUAUAAAAAUUAAGAAAAUUAACACUCCAUAGUAAAGAAUGUGGCAUUUUUGGCACUGCCAAAUCUCUUCAUCCAUCUAGGCUCAGGUCUGCACCCCUAAUAUGUGACAUGUGAUCAGUUCUUAGAUUAUUUCACAACUUUUCCUCUAAGAUAAUACUUAAAUUAUUUAUCCACAAAAGAAGAAACUCAUAUAAGCCAAUAAAACAAGUAGUCAUAUCACAGUUUAAACAGAGGCAAGAAUUUUAAGAACAAAAAUGAAUUCAAGUGUACUAACAAGACAAGCAUUGAUGCCUCCCUACUGCUUGGGUUUGAGAACACAAAUCAUGCCUUGCCAUUUUCCCAUACUUGUGCAAAUGUAAAAACUGUAUCUUAUGAGAGAAUUUUCAGAGUGGUCAAAUGCUGGUUUACAGAAUUAUGGCUGCAAAACAGUCUCCACAUUCUGCAACUACUUGAAAAUGAGUGUUUAGAUCAGUCUCUAACAUCCUCUGGUAAAACAAAUUUUACCAUGCCUAAUGUGAAUAGUUGAUUUAGAAGGGUUUUCAUCUUAUAUCACAGCCAGAAUCUUGAAAAACAAACAUUUCUGUACUGAGCAUUGAAGGAACCAUACACAGAAUAUGCCAGGUUCUUUUAACUGAAAAAAGGAAGGGUCUAGAGCCCAAAUGACAAACAUUUCUGUCCCACCAUGCUAGUUUCAUGCUCCCCAGGUGCUUUCAAUGAAAUUUACUAAGUAUGCAGCCAGAUACAUACAUUUGCCACCUUCAUAAAGCAAAAUAUAAUUCACAUUAAAAAUCUAGCCUAAGUUGUCAAUGGAAACUACAGAAUAUGGGGUUUCAGGGGAAAAACAAUAUUACCAGUGUCCUGUGUUAAAGAUAAGAAUAUCAUGGAAGCUUGGAGCCUCGGCCCAUGUACCAUCUGGGAUAUCAACAUCAACUCGAAAACCCUCUUUAUAUCCAAGUGAUUCUAAUGUGCCACCAUUAGCAUCAGCUGACCACCUACAUGAGAUAGGAGUGAAGCAAGCCUCCAUAACAGUGCAGUAGAAGAGAAAAAAAUAUAUAUAUAGCAAGACACAAAAUCAACAAAUCCAAAACCAAUGCUCAAAAGUCAAAAUGAACCCAACUAAACACCAUCAGUGAAAUUCCAGACAAUCUCAUUUAUGUGACAUCCUAAAGGAAAAGAGGGAAACAGCAUCCGCAGUGACUACAUGAUCUACAGCACUAACCCAGACUGGGGAAACAGGAGUUCAAAGAAUGUGCCAGAUGACAUCAUGCCCGCAUCAAUAAUGAUUCACCAGCACAUGAUUAUCAUGAAGCUUAAACUAAAUGACUCAUCCUGGCAGAGGACUUCACUUUAAAGAAUAAUAUCUAAAAUUGCCAAUGGUAACUGCUUUACAUCCAAUGCCUUCAGAUUUGACUGAACCCCAAUUAUUUUUGUACCAGCAGUCAGAACUCCAUUAAUACAAUGUAGAAAAUAACAUGCCCUCUAGAAUAAAUCAAGCUUUUCUUCAUCCAUGUCAAAAUUUUCUGGUUCUGAAUUGUUUGGGGUUGAACCAAUUAAUGCAUAGAAAUGUAAUCACUAUCACUUCCAAAUUCAUAGGCCACAAACUUAGAAAAAGUUUUUUUCCAAGCUGAACACAAUUUCAAUAAAAAGUCUCUACUUCAAAUACUAAGAUACAGGUUUUCACAACACUUUUUCCAUUACCACAAAUAGGGAACCAUCAUCUCAUGAGCAUCAAGGAAUCAUUUGAUUAUGUGAACUCCAAGUUUUAGAGCUCAUCAGUAAUUAGGACUAGAUACAUUGAGUUUUAAAUAUCUGAUUUAAACUCCUAAUAGAAACAGGUUGUAAAGUUUUCGACCAUUCAUAAAUUUGGUCAAAUUAAUUAAAAUUACAUCUAAAAAAUUGUCAUAUAAGGAUAUCCCCAAUUCCCCCACAAGGGUUUGAAACAUAGGGAAAAUCCUAGCCGAUCAUGCAAUUAUUUUAGUGCAAUUGAUCUACUAAUUAUACAGCGCAUCAUGAAGCUUUUUGCUCUUUAUGGCCUGUUUUAAGGGAAACCAAGAACCUGUGCAUUUUGAAUAUGCAUAAUUAUCUGUUAAACAAACUUCAACCAAUGACACACCUUCAUUACAUUUAGGAAAUCAUGUCUUCAACAGAUACUUGCCCUCCACCAUCAGAGAUCACUAAUUGAUGGGUCUCAUUUAAUAUAUCAAAUGCACAAGAGGUCAACUAGAUUAUUGAGUUCUAAAUAUCUUAUUUUAAAUUUUUAUUCAAAAGCAUAUGAAAGGUUUUCCACCAUCACAAAUUUAGUUGAAUUUGAUUAAAACUAUACUAUAAAAUCAAGCCAAUUUUUGUGCUUUUUAAAAAAAAAAAAAAAAAAUUGAAUCACUAUAGGUAUCUGCAGCACUACUCCUAUUAGGGUUUUGGGCAACAGGACUAAUCCCUGAUUCAGUCCAAAGAGGCAUGUUUUAGAGGAACACAAACCAGUGCACUUAGAACUAUAUCGAAGUCAAUGUACUUUGGAACUCAAUAUGCAACUGAUUGUACACCAAAAAAAAAAAAAAACAGAAGGAUUCUUGAGGUCAGUGAGAUAAGCUAUAUACUCACCUAGAUGGGCAUCCUUCCAAUUCCACAAUAUCUACACUUGAUGAUAGACUACAGGUUGACAAAUCGGAUUCUUAUGCCAUUCCCAGUUCUUCAAAUCUGAGAUAGUUAGCCUCUUUCUAUCAACAUUCUAGCAUGACUUAACUGGAAACAGUACUGUAGCAUUCAAAAUUCUCUACAUCAAGUUGACAUACUCUCAGGAGGAUUUUAUUUGGACCUACCCAUCCUACUAGACUAAAACAUUGGAGAUUUCCCUUCUAAUCCAUCAUAGAUAAUUCAAUCACCAGUCCAGUAAAGAUAUGAGACUAGGAAAUUAAGUUUCUAGCUCCUUAUGAAAGGGAAAUGAUUACUCAACACAUUAAACACACCCUUGUAGGAUAUAUGUUCCCACAAAGCAAUACAAUCAAAAUAACGUUCAGUGGUUGCUUCUUUGAGAAUCAUGUCCAAAUAGAAUUAGGAUAUUUAAAUAGAAAACAUGGAGCAUCAUGUUUUCCUUUUUCUAAAUGUUAUUAUGAAAGAAAUCCACCAAGGCAGAAAUGGUAGCUUCCAUAAUGGUCUAUAGAGGAGAAGCACAUACAGGGACCACACACACAUUUUGGUAACUUUAACAAUCUUAUGCUUAGGCAGGUCAUACAGGGACCACACACACAUGUUCACCUAUCCAAAUUCUUAGUUAUAUCUAGAGAACAGACAUAUUCACCUAUCCAAUUCCUAGUCACAAUCUUAUUCUUGAACAAAAAGUUUGUGAACAAUUUUUAGUUUAAUAAAUGAGAAUUACAUAUUCAGUCUGCAUUAACAGCAAUCGGAAUGAAUCCCAUAAAAGUACAACUGCUUCAAAAAGAAGAUUAGCAUACAAAUAAUCCAUUUUCCCCCAUAACCAGAAAGUAAACCAAAAGAAUAAAAGGAGAAAAAUAAGUAUUUAGCAACAAUAUUACAUUUCUAAUAUGAAGCCUUUCUACAAAUGACAUUCCUAAAUUUUGUUUGAACCUGAUAAAGGCAAAUCAAUGGAAAACAAACCCUUUUUCCAAUUGGCUCCAAUUUACCCAAUCUUUCAUUUUCAGGUUCAACCAAGGUUUAAAAUUACAUGAUUGCUUCAAAACUAUGAUGAUUAUGCUGAAUUGCACAUGACCCAAGCUUGUAACCAAAUAUUUUACAAACAAGCAGUAUUCAAUUUCUCAAUUCCCUUCACAUGUUUGGAGGCCAAGAAACUACAGGAAACUAAAAGAAUCAAUAAUUUAAAGUCUAAUCAUUUUCAUCCUGCAACCCCACAGAAAGGAGAAAUGCCUGUCUACCCAGUUCAAUAGAAAACAAUAUCUACCUUACUUUUAAGCGAGUCACUUGGCCAAAACAAUGCAAAGCACAGACAUUAAAAAUUACAGGCGCUGUGGCAUUUUUGAAGACAAAAGAAUGAACAAAUUCAUUUUUAUUGUUUUCAAGCAAUGCAUUUUAACAAAUUCGAAAAGAAUGAGUGAAAAAUAAAUAUAAAAUGUUUUCAAAAACAGUUCUUGAAAUCGUAUCAGCAACUUUUCGGUUCUGUUUUAUUUUCCAUUUAUGCCACCAAACUGGCCUAUAAUUUCUUUUUUAUUUUCCAAGAAAUCAAAAGAGAGGCAAUUUACUUUUCAAGUGAAAGAGAGUACAGCGAUGGUGUUCCUGAACCGCUCCAAAAAUCGAACCGGAUCAAAUCGAGGAAGAUCACAGCCUUUGGGCUUCCAACGCCACUUGAUAAUAUCCAAACCAUUGGAUUUAUUACUGGCAAUGCAAUUCCAUCCCUUGAAAAUCUCCUUACAUGUGUGAUCAUACGGCGCAGAUCUCACACCGGGAUCAUAGAUCCAAAUCCCAUCCGAAUAAUCGUACGGCUCAACCAAGAUCGGAGUUCCAGAGGAAUCGCUACGUUUGAAUUGGAGGUUUUGGUGGUUAUGAGGAGAAACAUAGGAUUUGAAGGGAGAGUGGACGAGGAAGGGAGAGGCGAGGCAGAGGAGAGAGGUGGAGCAGGAGGAGGAGUGAGAAGCGUUCGGAUGGCGCAGCUAGAGGAUUGAACAUCAAGAUCGGACUCUAUAUUUAAUUAUUAAAUAGAGGAACUAUAAAAAUCGUGUCUUAAUCAUUGUAACAAUAAAGCAUUAAAGGGGAUAUGAAGAUGCCAUUAAAGGCACCAUGGAACCGACGUUAUCAUUAACAGGAAGUGACAAUAAAAAGAGAAUCUCAGCAUGAACAAAAUACACAGAUUCAUCAACCCAUAAAGGCUGUAUACUAAUCUUAAAUUGCAUCAACAUUUAUUGGUUGGCACAGUCCAAACAAUCUGAAGGUAAAGCACAAGAUAUUGAAGUCAACAUUACAACACUACAUGGUGUAUUUCACAUCAAGCCAAGUUACUGAAUAAGCUUUCAACCAUCGUCUCUCCUCUAUACAUCCUUCUUUUUUGGGGUCAUCGCUGGGGCUCUGCAGAGGGGGCAGACAUUCUUCACCAGCACCCACUUCUUCAAGCAAUCUGCAUGGUACUCAUGCCCACAAUCAAGAAAUCCAAUCUUCUCUUCAUUCUCAUACUCCUCCUGGCAUAUAAUGCAAGAAUCAUUUUCCUGAUCCAUACUUGCACCCUCUUCCAGAUUCAGACAAGUUGAAGAUAUAUAAGUUCUAGUUUUUAGACAAUUUGUAAUGGAUUCCUCUGAAAGCCCUGUGCUUACUUCCCCUACUUGAUAAGAUGCUGAAAGAUCUAGUAUGGCAACUUCUUCUUCUGGGAGCGUUCUCAAGUAAGGCAGAUUACCAUGUCUCGAUGUUGCCUCAGGUGCGACUCCCCCUCGAUGAGAUCGAUCUAUCCUGAUCCAAGUAGGUGGAACAGGUCCUGGAUGCCUGUGCCCUGCCUCUACACCGACCUGAGGAGGCACAGGACUACGUGAACUAAUCGUGGCAAGUCUAUACGAAGAUGCCACUACUUGAGGGUGGAAAUGGCUUCUUGCCCCUUGCAUAGGUGGUGGUGGUGGUGGAUAAUGAAGAUUAUGGUGCCGGUGAAGGACAGGAGGUUGAAGGUAAUCUGUGGAACUUCUGCCACUAGAUGUAUCAUGAUAUCCCUGUAUACCCACAUUCCCAGCCUCUCUAGAACCUCCACUGAUGUUGCUCCCAUGCAAAUAAGGUAAAGCAGGUCCAUGAUUCCAGGCCAAAGUUCCCCCACCACUACCAUUAUUGCCUGAUUGUUGGUCAACCCAGGGAUCGCCAGAAGGCUGAAAAGGAUGGCCAAUAUAGUUUCCUUGCACCAAAUGGUAAUGAUUAUGUGCCAGAACAGAAUCCAGCCCAACACCACCUGAUCUGUUCCUCACACUUCUGUGAGAUCCUACUUCCAUGAUUGAAGGAGCAUUAUUCCCUCUGUACUGCGGCUGGGCAAAGGCAAAAGAUGCAGAAUCCAUCACGGGAACCCCGAAUUCAAGAUGCCUUGUAUUGAAAGGGGGAGCCGAAGAACUAGAGCUUGCAAAGCCGUUAAAAUACUGAAAAUUCCCCUGGAUGCCUUGAGAAUUCUUUCGAUCAUAUGUAGAAACUCCAAUGACUCCGUGAUUGCUGGAAGAUGGCAGCUGACCAGAUGGUCCAUGAUUCAUAGAAACAGGGAACCCUCUGUAUCCAGACGAAGGGGUCGAGUAAGGAUCAUAAAUGUUGGAUCGAGGAGCAACAGCUAUAUCAAGACUUGGGAGUGGAUGAUGAAGGCGAAUCCCAUAGAACAUAGCAGAGCCAUCAUAAUGCUGAGGUAAAUGAGGCGCAUCAAAAUGACUUGAAUUCUCUGGAGCUGAAAACAUGGUGGGCAUAACUACUAACACUAAACAUUUGGUAAUCUACCCUUUAUAACAACUAACACUUGAGAAAAUAGAAACACUUGCGAAAAUAGAAACUUCUAAUUCUAAUAUAUUUCUACCGUUUAAAACUUUACAUCUCAGAAAUAGAAAGAAAAAAAUAUUCUCUUUUCACUUUUUAGAAACCAAAUCUUAUUAUUAUUAUUAUUAUUAUUAUUAUUAUUAUUAUUAUUAAAAUGAUUUUUACAACUUUAAUUCAAAAAAAUCCCACCUCAUUCUUAUUAAAACAAUUUUUUUACAUAAUCCUUAGAAAAAAAAAAUAUCUCCAAUUCCAAUUGAAAGAAGAGAGUUUUUUUUUUUAAUUUCAUUGAAAAUGUAUCUCACAAAUUGAAUUUAACGUUUAAAAAAAAAAAUCUUCAAUUUUAUUAAAAAGAGUCUCAAAUUUUAUUCUAAGAUUUACAAAGAAAAUCAAAUUUAUUAAAAACUAUAAAUUUUACAAAAAAAGCUUAAAAAAUAUUUAAGAAAAAAACACAAAAAGAGUUCAAAUUUAUUUCCUAUUUUUUAAAAAAGAUUUUGUAGUUUCAUCCAAAAAACAUUUUUACAACUUUUAUUGAAAAAACAUUACUUUAACUAUUAUUAUUAUUAUUAUUAUUUAAUAAUAUUAAAAAUGAUUUUUUUUUAUUUAAUUUUUAAAACAUUUUUUUCAUCUGACUUGACAUUAGUUUCACCUCUAAAUAAGUGGUAGGUGGAGAUGUCCCUUUCAUGAAGUCUAACAACCAAUUUAGAUGCAUACGAGGAGUCAUAGACUCAUAGUAAGGUGGCACAUCAAAGUAGGAAAUUUUGAUGCAUGUGAGAUCAAGGUUGAAUUUCAAGUGCAUGAAUAACAAUGGAGAGGAUGGUCUUCAAUGAUAUGAAACAUGACAAUAUUGCACAAUGAGGGUCUUAUAUAUAAUUUUAAUAUAAUGCAAUAAUAACAAUUUUCCUUUGUUUAUGCAGUGAUUGAUAACAUGUUAUAUUUAUACACAAUCUAUGCAUUGAUGGAUAACAUGUUAAUAUCAUGCAGACUUCUUCUUUUUUUAAAUAAUUUUUAAAACAUUUCUUUCAUCUGCUUGACAUUAGUUUUGCCUCUAAAUAAGUGGUAAAGUUGUCAUUGUUUGUCAAAUUUCAGCCAUGGCGGGUGGAGAUGUUCCUUUCAUGAAUUCUAACAACCAAUUUAGAUGCAUAUGAGGGGUCAUAGACUCAUAUAGUAAGGUGGCACAUCAAAGUUGAAAAUUUUAAUGCAUGUGAGAUCGAGGUUGAAUUUCAAGUGCAUGAAUUCGAUCAACAUCAAUAACAAUGGAGAGGAUGGUCUUCAAUGAUAUGAAACAUGGAUGUGACAAAUGACAAUAUUGCAUAAUGAGGGUCUUAUAUAUAAUUUUAAUAUAAUGCAAUAAUAACAAUUUUCCUUUGUUUAUGCAGUGAUUGAUAACAUGUUAUAUUUAUACGCAAUCUAUGCAUUGAUGGAUAACAUGUUAAUAUCAUGCAGACUUCUUCUUUUUUUAAAUAAUUUUUAAAACAUUUCUUUCAUCUGCUUGACAUUAGUUUUGCCUCUAAAUAAGUGGUAAAGUUGUCAUUGUUUGUCAAAUUUCAGCCAUGGCAGGUGGAGAUGUCUCUUUCAUGAAUUCUAACAACCAAUUUAGAUGCAUAUGAGGGGUCAUAGACUCAUAUAGUAAGGUGGCACAUCAAAGUUGGAAAUUUUAAUGCAUGUGAGAUCAAGGUUGAAUUUCAAGUGCAUGAAUUCGAUCAACAUCAAUAACAAUGGAGAGGAUGGUCUUCAAUGAUAUGAAACAUGACAAUAUUGCAUAAUGAGGGUCUUAUAUAUAAUUUUAAUAUAAUGCAAUAAUAAUAAUUUUCUUUUGUUUAUGUUUAGAGUUUAUUCUAAUUCUAAACUUCAUAGGCCCAUUGUACUAUUUGGUUAGUUUGAGGAUAAAAUUAUCUAAAAGGAUCACAUUCUCUUUACCUCAUAAGUCCCUCAAAGGUUAUCAAGUUUACAAAUUAUCUUGAAGUUGAUGAGUCAUAUUUACAAAAUUUGACUAUCUCAUAUUUCCAAUUAUAUCUUUUGUCUGUCUUUUUCUUCUAUGGUCAUUUACCUUUACUUUUCUAACCUUUUUUAUUAUUAUUAUUUUGUCCUUUAUUUGCUAUAUAUAUUAAGACUAAUUCCUUCAAUUUUCUUCUUUCCCCAUUUUUUUUCAUAUUUUUUUCCUUGGAUUUUUUAGAAGUUUUUGUGUUUUCAAGUAUGGUAGAACUACCGUUUGGUAUGAAGUCACAAUAGAAAGCAAAAUACAUAAAAACAAGUGAUGUUAUUUAUCUUGUGGGAAUCAAUACAUACCCUUUGUGUGUUCAAUCGUUUCCCAUCUAUAUGAAGUUGUAUUCCCAAAUAUUAGAAAAGAGAAUGAAGAGCUUUAUAUUUAUUUUAUUAAUUGAUGAAAAGCAAUAAGCAUGCAUGAAAGCUAUAGACUAAUAAGGACGCUGCCCCUCCAUAUUUCCAGGAGGAUGAUAGUUGCAGGUGAUGAACCACCACCCAUUUUUGCAAUGAACGCUAGCACACCCAAGAUAAAGUGAGUCACCCCAAACAAUCUGGGUAUAGUGCAGGCACUCUCCACCAACACAUGAGUUGGAGUUGUAGUCAUAGUUUGGCUUCUCAGUUACCCAAAACUCGACUGCAUCUGAACCUGACACUGAAGUACCAUACACUUUAGCAAGGUUCUCUCCGUACGGCCCUCCUGAAUUCUCCAAGCUGCAAUGCGCAGCAACCCGGCUACUAGCAUAUCUCCUGGCGUAGGCUGCGACUGUCUCAUUCCAUGCGAUGGGCUGCACUCCUACCUGUGCCCGUGCAGCAUUGUGGGCGUCCACAUAGUCUUGGGGGGAGGUCUGAGCUAGUGAGAAAUGAGCCAGGGCUGAACCUAAUAUGUAAAUGGCUAAGAGAAACUUGUGAAUCCCCAUUUUUUAUGUUCAGGGAAGACAGGAUUUGAGGGUUGUCGAGUCAAAUAGGAGAUCUAGUUCAAGGUUAUUUAUAGAUUAAAUUAGGGUAAAGAAGUUCUUAUCUUCUUAAGGGGAUCGAAGGACAUCAUCAUCUCAGACGAAGUCACAAGGGUUUAAAUGGUGUUUCCUCGGUCUCACAUGAUUUCACAGGAUUUGGUGAGUAAAUUUGGAAGAUUUGUUUAGAUUUUUUAAUAUUUGUCAGGAUUUAACUCUUUACUAUAAGGAUUUGGUCAUUUAAUUUGUUAUUAUAACCAUUUUAUUUUAUGAAGAUUUAUAAAAUUUCAAUUAACCCUUCAAAUUAAUGGAACGACUAAUACUAUUAGCUUUUAUUGAUUAAAAUAAUAAAUAAAUAAAUAAAUAUAUAUAUAUAUAUAUAUAUAUAUAUAUAUAUAUAUAUAUAUAACUACAAUUCUAAGGUCUGGUUUGGGAUAAAUUCUUAUUUUAGGUUUUAGUUAGGAACUAAAAUCAAAGUGAGAGUAAAAAUUUUUAAAAAUAAUAUUGAUAUUGAAAGUGUUAUUAAAUGUAGAGGAAAUUUUUGUAUAAGUCAAAAUAGAGUUUAUAUAAGAAAUAAUAUUUUUCUAACUUUUAUAUUAAAUUCUUUUUUAAUUCAUAAUUUUUUAAAGCAAAAUUAAACAAUCAAAUAUAAAAAGUCUUAUUAAUUUUAAAAUAAGCUUUUAAUUUCUCAAUUUUUGAUCCAAAUUGACCUAAAAUUUGUUGUGACAACUAUUUCUUGUUUUAUUUCAAAUUAAAUGAGAAUCUUGUUUUAACUAUAUAUGCAUUUAUAAAUUUUCUAUAGGUCAGGCGAAGACAUCUCACUGUUGUCUACAAUUAUCAACAUGCACCAAAAAUAAUAAAAGAGAAUUACCUAAUAGAGGUUGAGGGUGAAAAUGAACCGAAAGGGUUACUCGAUAUGAUAAUUCCUAAAAAAUGAGUGUUUUUUUUUCUUACCUAUUUGCUCUUUGAGUCAAUUUUAAAAAUAAAAUAAAACUUGUUAGAAAAGAAAGAAGGAAUAGAAAUUGUACUUCCAUUCAUAGUGCCCUGUCCAUCGAAGGCUUCCAUUUUCUCAUCAUCAUCGGGGUGUGUUCAUCGUCUUCAUUGUACCCUCAACAUCACUUUGGAACUAUAGUUGUCAUCAUAUGUCAAAUAUUUUCUUGUAUUUUAUAUAUUUAUAUUUGACAAAUGUUAUUUUCUUUGAUUUCACUUUAUAGGGUUCUUUCACACUUAUUUCAAUUUCUAGAUAUUGGGAAUGGGAGAGAACUUGCAUUUGUAUUUCUUCCGUAAGAUUAAUAGUUUUGAAUAUGAAAUAUCUUGCAAUUCCAUCAAUCAUGUUACUCUACUUUUUGGCCCCCUACACAAGAUUUCUUCGUUUAUUCAAUUUUUUUCCCCUCAUUUGGCUACAAAGAAAGUAUAUAAAAUAAAUAAAUAAAUGAAUGUUGGCUUUUAUAAUUCAUGUUGUUUUGGUUUUCAUAAAAUAAAAUAAAUCAACCUCAACUAAUCCAUAUAGUUUAACUAACCCUAGUUCAGUUGGUCUUGACUUUAUUUCAUUUUUUUUUCUUACAUUUUCUCAUAAACCAAAUGAAGCAUUAUUUUAAUUUUUUCCAUAAUUUUAAUGUCUAAUUUUGUCUUGAUGUUAAUAUAAUCAGUAUUUUUACAAAACUGGCAUUUGGAGGAAUUUUCACACUUUUAGCCCAUACUUUAGAGGACUUAUCAACAGGGGUUACCCUUCCAAGUUAUUUUCACCCUCAACCCACCCUAAUGGGUAAUUCUCCCAAAUAAUAAUAAUAAUAAUAAUAAUAAUAAUGCAGACAACACUGCAAUAUGAUAGCAUUUAGAUUUCUUUCAACAAAAAAUAGUAAUUAUUUUUAAGGUUAAAUUCCACUUCUAGUUGAGGCAUGUUUUGUCCAAACCUAUAGCCGGUAUGAAAUUAAUCCUUAUCUUUUUUAAAAUGUCGACAUAUAACUUCCUACCUAUUUAAUUCACACGAAAAUGAGGAUAACAGAGAUAAUUAAGCAUGACUAUGAUUAGACAAGUUUAGGUUUUUUCAAAUUAUCCAAAUAUUUUAUGUCACAAAAUAAAAAGAUUUUUUUUCCCAAAAAAAUUGACGAAAAGUAAAGAGAAAAGAGAAUACAAAUAAAUAAAAAAAAUUAAAAACAAAUAGGAUGAAAGAAAGAUAAAGAAUGAUAAAAAAAAUUGAUUUAAAGUUAAUAAAUUAUUUUUAUAUUUUAUUUUAAAAAAAAAAUUAUUUAUUUUAAUUCUUAUAUAUUUUAUGUUAUUUUAUAAUUUUCGUGUAAGGAAGUCUUUUUCAUUUUUCUAUUUUUUAAAACCAAACAUAUCAUAAAAGUGAUGAGCCUUAUGACACAUAAAACCCUAGCCCUUCAGCCCUGUUUGGAUCGAGUCAAAAGUUCUUUGAUUAAGUCCAAAAUUCAUAUGGUAAAAGAGGUUUUGGUUUGCAACAGUUUGGCCAUAGCCAUCUACUGACUCCAUGCUUUUUGGGGUUGAAAUUUAAGCAAAGUUCAUGGAAUUAACGGCCACAUAAUCAGAAACUGAAGGAAGAAAAUUGGAAAUUUUCAAGAAGUGGAGACCCACACAUCCGUUGCUAUCAAUGUCCAAAGAUUUAAAUGGGUACAAUAAUGGGGCUUUAAUGCCAUCAUCCAACAUUUGCAAUUAAAACCAACCAAGCUAACCUCAGACAAAACCCACCUGUGAAUCACUGGCAGAGGAAUAUUUAAACAACUAACUAAUAAGAGAAUGAAAUUUGGAGAUGAUAUGAAUCUCAGUUUUGAAACUUGAUAUUGUUUAGAUGUGUUAUGAACAAGUCAUUCCAAGUAUCCGUAGUUCCUGGUAGGCACCAGUGCAUGCAAUCGUCAUGCUUCUUUCCACCAGCUGUGGAGGGAUGGGCAUCUGCUCUAAACUCACUCAUCCGGGUUAUCUCCAAAAUAUGGAAAUCAGAGCCUUGCAGGGCCUUGUAUAGGUGCUGGUUCACAAGGCGUGUCUCCACAUUUGUUCCAUUGUUCUCCAAAGAGAAGAGUUCUUCAACCUGAAAGACAACACUGGAACUUACAACCUUGGUGGCAGUGAUAAAAAUACAACCUUCAAACUAUGAGUAGCAGAAAGGACAUGGUAUCACAUGGAAAAGCCCAUAAGAGGAAUGAACAUAAUAGGGGAGAAAUUCCCCUCAAACCAAUUCAUGUGGUCAUUUGUUGAUCAGAAAGAGAAAAAUUAGAUGGGCAAGAAUUUAAGCAAUUUUUAAGAUUAUGACUGUCCAGUGUUCUUAGUAGUUCCUUUCUUAUGAGUCUAUAGGGCUUCCUUGAAUCUUAUUUAAAAUUUAGAAAGUCUUCUUAGCUGGAAAUUACUUAAUUCAAGAAAUUUCUAUUCCAGUUCUAUUUUCUUUAGGUUUUUGCUUUUUAUGAGUAUCUGCUUCAAGUUCAAUUAUAAGUGUUUUCUAGGGUUCCAAACCAGCCCAUCAGGAAUUAAAGAAACUCUAUUUUAUAUAAAUAUUGGUUAAUUUUGUUUUUAUAAGAUUCUUUUGCUUGCCUAGAAAGUUUUCAGG